UCUGAGGUUCAACAAAUAAUCUUAUAUAAUUUAUGUACGUUACACGUAUUUUUCACGGAAUAUGAUCACAGUAAGCCUGGAAGUGAUUUAAAGCUGUAUGAACAUUACGAAAAGUGAGUCUAAACCAUGGAGGAAGCGAACGUGCACUGCCUUUAACUCUGAACACAAAUGUAUUACUCGUACAACCAGUGGAAAGUUUCUGAUCAAACUUAGUAACAAUAAGUGAAAAAUCGCGAUUUUAGGGAACACGAGUUUGGAUAUCUAGAAUCGUUAUAAUUUUUUAAGAACAUUACGUUAGAAUGUCAAAUUGGUACAAUAAUUUUCUUUUUCUUUUUUUUUUUUUUUUGAGGAUGACAACCUCGAAGCAAUAGGGUAAAAAAUUACUUAAUCCAUUUGCAAACGACAAAUGGAUAAAACAACAUGCCAUUGUUUUCUAAAUUGGUCUUUUAUAGAAACGAUAACUGUGCAUACUUUAUGAAAGAAAUGAAAACAAAUUUGUUAUAAUACAUAACUUGAGAUACAAUAUAUUCAAUAGCAUAAAAGUACUUAAUUAUCAUCGACAGCGUUACGCACAAAAACUCCAUAAUAAUUUCAUUUCAGGUGCUUUUUAUAUUUUGAAUUAAAAGCGAGUCGGAACAAUUGGCGAACGUUGAAAGAUGAAAUGUGUUUAAAAUUGUGAGAUACGCGAUCGAGAAUGUACUUUUCCACGGCGAUAAAGAUACUCAGUGAAAAUUGAUGAAAUCGAUCAUUUACGCUUUGUGUCGUGAAUUGUAAAUGGCAAAUGUUCGUCCCGGGAGAGACAUCGGCGGCAUAAUGAGCGAACAAUCCAAUGAAAUUUAUGUCAUUUGGUGAAAUUUAAUGCGGUGGUAUGACUUUGAGACUAAUUAACUACGAUCUUGUUACCAUUACUAUCUCCUAUUGUCAUAAUCGUUUUUAUCAAUUCCAAUUUCGAUAAUUGAAUUUGUGCUUAAAACAGGCUGACGAAGAUACUACGACACUUGUAGAGAAAUUUUAUUUAUUUUCAAUCAAAAUUACGGGCACGCUUGUGUAUAAAUUCGUCACGAAACGAGAAACAAGUCGAUAUCCAAUUAGCAUGCUACCAAAAAUGAUCAGCGGUUGAUUUGUCGAGGAAUAAUGGUGACCCGAGCCGAACUCGCGGAUUUAUUAUACGCCUCUAAUUGCCUGAGCUGGUGGAGCGUGGAAUCGAUCCUGCCGAGCACGUGUCGCGACUCAGCCCGGAAAUUUUAUCGCGAAUCCACGUCAAUUAUGCGGAAACGAAAGAUGACAACUCAUUAUUCGACCAUCACGAACAACACUCGAGCCACUCAUAGAUACAGAACGAAGAAAUCAAUCGAUCAUGGUAAAAAAGAAGGGACGGAAGUAUAAAAACGAGAUGACGAAUUAGAGAAACAAGAAGAAGAGCAGAAGGUAAAAAGAAGAGAGAGUUUUAAUUAAAGCAAUGGUAAUUCAGCGAAUUCCAUCGACAACGAACGUCGGAAAAAUUGGAAACGUACGGACAAUUUAUCAGCGAGGAUUCGGUGGACGAAGAGACUGUAAAUUUCAUUUUCGAUCAGCGAACAAUCUGGACACCGUACAUUGUUAAGUAACUUAAGUUUGGAUUUCGACAUUUUUUUAACCUAAUUGGCGUAUAAAUCUUAUAUGUUUGAACUUUCGAUUUAUUAUAACGAGACACGAUUAUUAUGAUUAUAUUGGUCAAUUUUGAAAGAACUAUACUUCAAAUAACGGAACACAUGGUAUACACGUACAAUAUCUUCGAGCAACUGAUCCAGAUGCAACUUGGAGUCGCUCGUUUUAAAACUCUUACGAACGCUUUCGUUGGUUGGUUCGAUCCUCUCGAACGUGGCACGAGAACCGACAUAACAAGGAAGAAGCUUCUUCCUGGUUCGAGAAUCGCGUGGAUCCUGGCCAGAAUCGGUCCAUCGUGCCCCGCGAACGAGCUACUCUAAGGUCCAAUGGUCCAACAGGCUUUGCCAAAACGCAAGUUCGGAGAGCCGCUAUUCCGAUGCAAGCUUCCACGGAAGGAAGAAGAAAGAAAGUUUGCCAUUGUGAUCCGGAUUAUUCAACGAAGGAACGCGCCAGCCAAACCGUAGGCAUAAGAGCCUCGCUAGAUAGGAAUCACAGUUACCCUCGGUUCUCGUCGACUUAACUUCGUUAUCUGGAGGAUAGGCAAAAAUACAGAAGAAAAUUUUUUCUUCCGUCUUUUUUCUUCUUCCUUUCUUCUUUUUCUCUUUUUUUCUUUUUUUUUUGAAAUUAUGCCGUACGGAAUAAUUUGAAUAAAGUUGAAUCACGUGGUUGUAAAUCGGUAGGUAUAUUUAUAGUAGAAAUAUAUUGUUUCCGGUCACUCUUGGAGGAGCACAUAAUUUUAACUUACGUUAUACCUUUAUUAAUAUUAAUAAUACCUUAUAUAAUAUAACCUUAUAAAAUACCUUUAUUAUUAUUAAUAUUAUACCUUUAGCUGCAAUAAUCGAUGCGAUAUUGCUUUUAACCGGUGAAUUAAUAAAUUAUCUCAAAUCAAUAUGAACCUGUUAUUUUAUUUGGUACAAAACGUCUUUUCAAUUUUCAAAUAAAGUUGUGGUUCUUUAAACUAUUCCUUAACUUGAAAGGAAUAAUAGUCACUAUAUAGACAAUGUAACAUAUGUUACUUAUAAUUUCUUGUUUGUUGUAUUGGUUUCUCAAAUUCUUUUUUCUGUUAUUAGGUAUUUGAUCGAAAUUACUUUACUUGAACCUAAACAAUUUCAGUCCAUGCAGUUUUACAUGAAGACGAUUAUUAAAUUACUUGAACUGAAUUAGAGGUAUGAGAUUUAUACAAAUAAUACGAAUAAUAUUAUAAAUGUAGAUAUUUGCUGUAUUCCAUCGAAUGCAAUGACCAAUAAAAUAAACAAACAAAUAACAUUAUAACAUUAAAUAAUAUAUCAACGAAUUUUACCAUAAACAAAUAUAAUUAAAUAUGAUAACAUCGCAAUUAAUUAUUACGGUUCUGUUUCAUUGAAUAUAAUAAAUAUGUUACGGUAAACGCAUUAAGCAAAUAAUUGUUUUAGUUGAUGCGGCAAGAUAUGCAUUUUAUAUUUUUAAACAAUAAGGUCUGAAACGCAAAGUACUUAGCUAUAUGCAAAUUUUCCAUUGAAAUUUCGAGUGUUACGCC